AUUGAACGCUGGCGGCAUGCCUAACACAUGCAAGUCGAACGGCAGCACGGAUAAGUACUUGUACUUAUUGGGUGGCGAGUGGCGCACGGGUGAGUAAUGCGCAGGAAUAUGCCUUAAGGUGUGGGAUAACUUGGGGAAACUCAAGCUAAUACCGCAUAAGCUCUACGGAGUAAAGCUGGGGACCUUAUGGCCUGGCGCUUUAAGAAUAGCCUGCGUCCGAUUAGCUAGUUGGUAGGGUAAAGGCUUACCAAGGCGACGAUCGGUAGCUGGUCUGAGAGGAUGAACAGCCACACUGGGACUGAGACACGGCCCAGACUCCUACGGGAGGCAGCAGUGGGGAAUAUUGGACAAUGGGGGGCAACCCCUGAUCCAGCAAUGCCGCGUGUGUGAAGAAGGCCUGAGGGUUGUAAAGCACUUUCAGUGGGGAGGAGGGUUGAUAGGUUAAGAGCUAAUUAACUGGACGUUACCCACAGAAGAAGCACCGGCUAACU
rnacentral:rRNA from 1 species